rnacentral:lncRNA from 1 species
UGAUAACUCAUCCCAGCUAAUCAGCCCUUUCUUCCUGGCUCUGGAGGUUUUAAAAACAAUGACUCAUGAAGUAUUUGCCAGGCAACCAUCCAUCCAGUCUUCCCACAAGUCUGAGUUUGUCAGCCUGCCUCGAAUUUGUCUAAGAAAUUAAAUCUCGGUUUUAGUUUUAUUAGCACACGUACUGCUUUGCUGUUUUUCAGAAAACACUGUAAAAGGAAACAUGUAGGUUAUAAUGAAGAUAAAGAAGAAAUGAAAAGCCUCGGGUACAAUGGCAAUGAUUGUUAAUAAAAAACCGUUAACAAAGGUUUCCAGAAAUUAAUCAGCACAGAUGGACAUGGCAACCACUUGUGAAGGAAGUCUUUGUAGAAAUGCUCUGCAGCAAGGGUUCUGGGAAAUGCUGAGUGUCACACACCGAAGCGCUUAGCCAAUCCAGUCUGGACAACAAGCUGAAAACCAGGUCCUUCCCAGAAGAGCUCAGAAACACAGGGAGCAAACCAAGUCAGAGGCUGCAAGUCCCUGGUCCUGUUCUGAGGUGGUGAAGGAUCUAAACACAGGAUUCAGCUUAAUGGGAAGAUUUGCCCAACCCAAACCCUGCAGUAUCCAGCCUACCUCAAGCAGCUGGAAAUCACUUUUCACAGGAGUACUUUGGCACAUCCCCAUGAAAAAGGGAAUAUUUGUGCAAAGAUCUGAUAUGCUCCCAGGCAACAGGACCCAUUCCUUGCGUCUGACGUCUAUUUAAUUUGCAGACGUGCUGGAGUCACCUGAGACAAUGGCAAAGCUGCAGCUACCACCACCAAAGUCCUUGUGGCUACCCUUACAACUUUUGCACUUGCCAUUGAAGAAGGGGCUGCUUCAGGGGCGCUUGGCUGGCUCAGUUGGUAGAGG